GUGAGAAGGUCAACCGGAGAUUGAUAUUGUGAAUAUUAUAAUACAUUGUUUUUGUGCAGUAAUACGUUUUACAGUUCAGCUUACUCAGCUGCCGGUGGUUUUUGAAUAUACCUAAAAAAUGUGAGUAAACUAUGGUCGUGAGGAAUGUCAGUUUAAUGAUGCUACAAUUAGCAUUAGCUGCUGCUGCUUGGAUCACUGAGAGAACCCACUGUGUGUGUGCGUGUGCGGGACAAAAGUGUUUUCUACCAAGCGUCUGAUGUGCUCUACUCUAAUAGACAUGCUCAGGACUUGGCCUCAAUGAAAGGCCCACUCUCACACGAGGAACCCACGCGGGAAGUCUUCAUGGCGCAGCUUGCUGAUCAACAGCAGGUUUAAACUGAUCGUUACUGAAAACUGCUUUUCUGGACAACAGUAACCAUCACGGCCUUCACAAGAACUUUAUCGGCUCAGGCUCAAGGGCCAUGUGUCACUCAGUCACUAGUCUGAGUGAAAGCCUCAAUCUGUCUCUGUGAUAGAAAUAGGCCUGACACAUCUCCACCAAGGAAUGCUAAUCACGCAGGCUUGGCCUGGUCCUUUGUGGGCAGGCCAUGAUAAGGAAAAUCAGUUUCCCCUCCUGUCAGACAGUGGGGCCUGCACCCUGAUCCUGUCUGGGAGGAAACAAGACGUGGGCCUGGAAGUUACUGUCCCGUUUGCUGUGUAGUUGGAUGUAGCUCAGAACAGGGUUGGAUGGUGAACGUCAGGAAACAUGACUGCAAGUGAUGAAUUGUUCUAAGAAAUGUGACGAAAGGCAAUUAAA